AAAAGUGAAAGACGGUCUUGCUGUCACUUAUAGAUGGAUCCGCGCUGCAUUAGCUAGUUGGUAAGGUAACGGCUUACCAAGGCAACGAUGCAUAGCCGACCUGAGAGGGUGAUCGGCCACACUGGAACUGAGACACGGUCCAGACUCCUACGGGAGGCAGCAGUAGGGAAUCUUCCGCAAUGGGCGAAAGCCUGACGGAGCAACGCCGCGUGAGUGAUGAAGGUCUUCGGAUCGUAAAACUCUGUUAUUAGGGAAGAACAUAUGUGUAAGUAACUGUGCACAUCUUGACGGUACCUAAUCAGAAAGCCACGGCUAACUACGUGCCAGCAGCCGCGGUAAUACGUAGGUGGCAAGCGUUAUCCGGAAUUAUUGGGCGUAAAGCGCGCGUAGGCGGUUUUUUAAGUCUGAUGUGAAAGCCCACGGCUCAACCGUGGAGGGUCAUUGGAAACUGGAAAACUUGAGUGCAGAAGAGGAAAGUGGAAUUCCAUGUGUAGCGGUGAAAUGCGCAGAGAUAUGGAGGAACACCAGUGGCGAAGGCGACUUUCUGGUCUGUAACUGACGCUGAUGUGCGAAAGCGUGGGGAUCAAACAGGAUUAGAUACCCUGGUAGUCCACGCCGUAAACGAUGAGUGCUAAGUGUUAGGGG
rnacentral:rRNA from 1 species